GGGUCAGCGGCGAGUCAUGCGGCGGUCUUGGAAAACCGCUAUGGCUGGUGACAGUCAUCGUGGGUUCGAAUCCCACGCCCU
rnacentral:tRNA from 1 species